rnacentral:rRNA from 1 species
UGGGGAAUUUUGGACAAUGGGCGAAAGCCUGAUCCAGCAAUGCCGCGUGUGUGAAGAAGGCCUUCGGGUUGUAAAGCACUUUUGUCCGGAAAGAAAUCCUUGGCUCUAAUACAGUCGGGGGAUGACGGUACCGGAAGAAUAAGCACCGGCUAACUACGUGCCGGCAGCCGCGGUAAUACGUAGGGUGCAAGCGUUAAUCGGAAUUACUGGGCGUAAAGCGUGCGCAGGCGGUUUGCUAAGACCGAUGUGAAAUCCCCGGGCUCAACCUGGGAACUGCAUUGGUGACUGGCAGGCUAGAGUAUGGCAGAGGGGGGUAGAAUUCCACGUGUAGCAGUGAAAUGCGUAGAGAUGUGGAGGAAUACCGAUGGCGAAGGCAGCCCCCUGGGCCAAUACUGACGCUCAUGCACGAAAGCGUGGGGAGCAAACAGGAUUAGAUACCCUGGUAGUCCACGCCCUAAACGAUGUCAACUAGUUGUUGGGGAUUCAUUUCCUUAGUAACGUAGCUAACGCGUGAAGUUGACCGCCUGGGGAGUACGGUCGCAAGAUUAAAACUUAAAUGAAUUG